rnacentral:rRNA from 1 species
UACGUAGGGUGCGAGCGUUGUCCGGAAUUACUGGGCGUAAAGAGCUCGUAGGUGGUUUGUCGCGUUGUCCGUGAAAACUCACAGCUUAACUGUGGGCGUGCGGGCGAUACGGGCAGACUGGAGUACUGCAGGGGAGACUGGAAUUCCUGGUGUAGCGGUGGAAUGCGCAGAUAUCAGGAGGAACACCGGUGGCGAAGGCGGGUCUCUGGGCCGAUACUGACGCUGAGGAGCGAAAGCCGUGGGGAGCGAACAGG